ensembl:lncRNA
GUGGUGUGUGGAGUCAGAGGAACAGAAGUCUUUUAACUGGACGGUGGACAGUGGAACACACAGUAUUGAGAUCAGUACACUGCAGCCCGGAAAGCUGUUCUGGGUCACGGUGGCUGCCAUUAAUGGGGCAGGAGUGGGGGUCCAAAGCACCCCAUACAAACUGCUCAUAGGUAAGGAAACAAAACAGGUAUAAAACAAUCAUUUUAAAGCGUAAUCUACUCAAUAUGUUACCUGUUGCUCUCUUUUUCACAGAGUUGAGGCAGGAGGCGACACCGUUUCAGACAGGCAUACUCAGUAUGUCUCAUUUCCUUGCUGUGAUUAAAGAGCCGGUAUUCAUCGGCAGCGUUGGCACCCUCCUGUGGUGUGUUUUGAUGAUUACUGCCGUGUUUUUAUACAGGAGACAUGUCAGACCCACCAACCUGGGAGGCAAACACUCAGGUCUAUAAUAAAGUCUCGAUUGACUUCCUUUUUUCUAUACACACAUAGUCAUACAAUUAUAAUUGUCUGUUUCAUUUAUAGGUUUGUAUAGACUGGAAAGUGAAGAUCUCAUCAUCAAACACAGAAUGGCGGCACCAGACUCUCCGUGGAUCUCUGGAGGCUGGAGGCCAGAUUCCAGCAGUGAGCCCAAGCAGGGCCUUUGGACCCCGAGUCAAGAGAACUCCGGCUUCCGGAGGACAACUCUGCCCAUUACGGCUAAAAAGGACCCCAACCCCUUUCGGUCAGCCGUCCCGAUUGUACCAGACAAUUGCGGCGUCUAUGGCACCUUUUAUGUGGAUCUAACCGGCAAUGGAAUGAAGACGUUUAAUAGUCCAGGUCACUGUCCCAGAAUGCCUCACAGCAAAUCUCAGCUGCAUAACUCCGAGACUGUUCGGAUCACCGAACCCAUCGUCAAAACUGCCGUCGUGAGGGAAGUGCAGGCGUUGCCAUGGAAAUGUGCCCUCCCUGCCCAGCCCAACAUGGGAGUUCUGAAGGAAUCGUGGGAGAAAAAUUACAAGCGUGAGCUGCAUGCGGUAAAAAGUGCCCCGUUAAUGCCCGUGAGUCAACGAGCACUGGCAGUGUGCAGUGCACAGAGUAACCAUCAGCAAAGAUUCAGUCAGCACCCUGCAGGUGGUGUAUCAGAGCCUGUGAAGCCACUGAGUUCUCCGCGUAUGCUGCGCUACUCUGCCUCUCUGCAGCUGGUGGACAUGUUACCCAGCCCUCCGCCUCUUCCUAUGGAGGACAACCACAGCCUCAGCUCAGAGGACGAGUCUACCAGAUCCACUAAGUUGACAGUUGACAUCGGAUCUCAGCAGUCUGUUUGUGCUGCCUCUGGGCUCCAGGGUCCCGCUACGGUUACUACAGGCUGUCCAACCCACCACAGCCCAGCCCAGUCAAGCCCGUCCUACAGCCACCUGUCCACGGCCUCCUUCUGUCUCUCCACUGACGACUACCAGGACACCACGCUCAGUACUCAGGGCCACACUCAAUACAUGGAGAUCAGCCCCAAGCCACAGGGGCAAAGGUAAAAGAACACCUGAGUCCUGAGAGAACAUACAGUAUAUGUGAAGGGAGUAUCAAGACAAGGGCUAAUUGUGAUGUCUCCCAACAGUGCAUCCCAUCAAAGUUCUCCUUCAAUGCCACGUCCGUUCUCUCCCACACCCACGUUUGGUUACAUCUGUGGGCCUGCCGACCGGGAGAUGGAUGACGAGCAGGAGCCUCAGGCAGUCGGCCUCAGAAGAGCCACACUGAGGAGCACGCCCUCAUCUUGUUGCAGCGAAUGGGAGGGUUCGUUGUGGAACGGCUGGGGUUCGGUGUCCGAAAGCAAUGUGACGAGCGCUCGAACCAGUAUCAUCAGCUCUUCUGACUGCUCGUUCAUAAACGAUGCGAACUUUGCCCGCGUCCUGGCUAUGACAGCCGAAUCCAUGAGUGGUACUUUAUCAGGCAAGUUAAAACUCUCUUUAGCUUCUGUAGAAUUAGGAUGUUUUAAUUUAUAGUCUUCACAUGAUUCAAGUUCUAAGUUGGUUAACAGCAAGAACAGAUGUAGUUGCCAGAAAUGUCCACUAGGUGGAACAACCUGCUCACGCAGUCAAUGUUCUAACAGCAGCUCUACACAGAUUCACCACCCCUGAAAGCUCUGCUAAUUUCCACAGAAAUGAAAUGAAAUAAAAAUGCCUGCU